GCAAAUGGACUUUCCACUUGGCCAGUGCAGUCUUCUCUGCUCCUUACUGUACACGUGGCUGUCAAGGAGAAGAGAAGAAGGAGCUGCCAUUUUGAACAUGUCUAGUCCCAGGUAGCUUAUUCCUACUGGCACAGCUGCCGGCAUUCGCCUGCACAAGCUUCCAGCUUGCUUGUCUAUGUCUGCAGCUCGAUUUUACAGUCUGCUCUUUGUUAGAAAAGAAAAUGAUUUGGGGGCUGCUUUUCAUUAAAAGGAAAACCUUACCGAGGACUUCCGUACCCUCACUAUCUGCCUAAGUAAUUUCUUCUUAACAACUCCUGUAUCAGCGCCACUGCAACUCCAGCUUGGACAACAGGCUGGAGACCCUGUCUCCAAAAAUGAAAAAACAAAACAAGAGUCCAAUAUGGAAGUCAGUCAGGGGGCCUGAAUUCUUAGACUCAAAUGUGCUUCUGACAGACACGCUGGACUAAUAGAAGCGGAAAAGGAACACCAUGGAAACACCAGACGGGCUGGAGAGAUAAGCAAGCUUUGAAAUACCUGAACCUCGGUUAAAUAGCAAGUUCCAGUUUCUGUAUUUGCCUUCUAAAAUAUCAUGUCAGGAAUAAGUAAAUGUCACCAAAUAAUCAACCUGUUUCGCUAUCUUUUCUUUUUUGGUUACUUGCUUCAACAGGUUUUUAAAAAUGGGUUUUCUUAGUUUACCUCCUUUGCCUGUGUGAUACCCAAGAUAUUCUCCCCAGUGGUGUGUGUGUUUGCAAAAUGUCAUAAUCCUCUCUACAGCCAAACACAACGGCUCGCAUUUAGUCACAGAGUGAGGAGCAGUUAAUUAAUGAGAGCCAAGGGAGGCAGUGAGGAAACAUUGGAGAAAAACGUAGCCAGAGGAAGAUCAGAGGGGAAAUGUCUGAAGUCAGUCCAAGAUAAAUCUUCAGUCCUUAGGGAAAGCCCUGGGGUAGAUGAUGUGGGCUGCCAACCAAGUUGGAUUUUGUGUGUGUAUGUGUGUGUGUGUGUGUGUGUGUAGCAGGGGGAGCAGUUGUUUGUUCUUUUUGUUUGUUUGUUAAAGUGUGGAAGCAGGGACUGUAGGAACUUGGGGAGAAAGAAUGUUAGAGUAGCUUCAACAAGGCAAAGCUUCUAUCUAAAAUUGCACAUUAAUUUCCAUGAAACUCUUCAUUCGUGAAAAGGCAAAGAUCUAAAACUUUUUCUCCUUUCUAGCACAUGACAGGAUUUUUGUCGUGACUUUCCUAAAUUCUCACUGUGCCAAGCAAGCAAGAAAGUGCCCACAGGAGUGGGAGGGAAAAGACACAUGGGAUGGCAGCAAGGAAACCUGCCUAGAGGAGCCAGCCAUCCCGUCUGUCCCCUCACUUCCUUCCAGAGAGAACGUCUUUCCUUGACAGCGCCUGCCUCCUGUCAUUUCAUCCCAACACUUUGCCCAGCCCGGGAAAUCUGGAUUUUCUUUUUAAAGAAAGAUGUCUAGAGAGAAAAAUAGAAAAUGAACAGCCAAUAGAAAGUGCAACAGAGCUUGUUGAUUUGGUUCUGUCAGAUGCCCCAAGUGUUCGUGGUAAGCUGGAAAACUCUCCAUCCACUAGAGGCAGCCACAGCUCGGGAUGCUGAUAAAGUUCUGACACAGGGAGUGAGUGAUGAGUGGUGUGUAAAAGUUCUGACACAGGGAGUGAGUGAUGAGUGGUGUGUAACGUGCUGAAAACAGGAAGCUCUGACAACAAUGUGAAGAGGAACCUUCUGAACACAAAUUCUAUGGCUCCAAAUAAGCAAGUUAAUAGUCCUGAUAUCUUGACUUGAUCUACAGAAGAAACCCCACUCAGGAUAACUUUUACUUUUCUGGUGGAAGAGACAAUAAGAAUAAAGACUCACUAAACGGUAAUAAAAUCCUCUUUGACUUACUAAUUGGUUGGUAAUUUUGAAAUUUUCUAAUCUGAAUGUUUAACUCCAAAUAGUUUUCAUCCUGUCAUAUGUUACAGUAUUAACAGUUAUAGAAAAAGAACAGGAAUUAUUAGAAACAUUAAAACUAUUCAAAUCUAGGAAAUGUGGAUCUUAGGAUUUGUGUCAGGAAACCAACAACCUUAGGAUGUGCCCCACAGUUGGCUUUCCUGAACCGUGAUCCCAGAAUGCAAGAAGUCAACCCAAUACAAAUCCAUGCUUUCUGACAAUGGCAGAAAAUUUUUUGGCCAUUGUCCAUUGACUGACUCACAAGCUGUGACAAUGUCCCACCAUUACACUCCACCGACUCCCCCGCAAGGCUGUCACCUGUCUUUACCUGCAGCAGCUGCAUAUAUGCACACAUUUAAUAACACUUAGUGGGGGCAUGUUCUGUUCUAGAAACGGUGCCUGCUCCAAAGAUACGGUGGUGAACAAAAUAAAAAUGCUCCCUGUCUCUAUGGAACUCAGAGUCUAGCAGAAGACAAAGACACAAUGUGAAAUACACAUUUCAAUAAGUGCUAUGAAAGAUAGGUUGUACAGUGAUAUGAAAGGGAAUAACAAAGGGAUGCAAAAGAGUUAUGAAAGGCCUCUCUGAGGAAGUCAUGUUUAAGCUGAAAGGUGAAGGUUGCCUAUAAGAAGGUCAGGCAAAAGACAGGGUGUGUGAGUGGGGAAACAUUCUAGGCAGAGGUAACAGCAUAUGCAAGACCCCAUGGAAGAUUAGAAAAAGGAAACAGCACCAAGAUAUGACCUAUUUUCCUUAGAUGACUGAGGGAAUUCAAAUUCAAUGAAUACCUUCUUUAUCUUAAAAGCUAAAGCCUUUACAUUUAUUAUAAAUAGGGAUUUCUAUAAAUCCUGUCAACUCCCACUUAUCCUGUAUUCUCAAUCCUGUAUUUAUUCACCAACAUCUUUGAGCUGUUUUCUCUGGCCUUAUCCUUAUUCUUUCUAAGGUAUAUCUAUCUUUUUUAGCAACCCCGAUAAUUAGAUAGGAUAAUCUGUUGAGAUAUUAAUUUGUGAUUUGUAUUUCUGAUUUGUGCUAUAGAAGACUUGAAGGAUUAGAAGGGACUUUCCUCCUACUUCCUUCACUGGAAAGACAACCAGGCCUUUAUCUUCUAAGAUCUUUUUUCUAUUUUCAAGCAAUUAACAGUUUAUUUUUGUAUCAGAACAUCCUGUCCCAUCCCUCAAGAUCUGUUGCGCAAAAUGUAGGCCCAUCGGGAGGAAGAAAGUUGAGGAGAGGGGUGAUUUGCCUUGCUGGCAACUUAUUGACAUGUCUUUGCCAUGCUCCUACUCAGGAAAUUAGAUCCCAUGACCUAUAAAAUUCAGUCAAAACUGCAGCUAAACUCACACCCUCUGCUAUAUUGGACCUGAAGUCUCUGCAGCCAUUCUCCUCUAUUGCCACAUUCAUCCCCCGUACCAAGUCGUACCCCAUCAAUUCUGCCUGUCCCAUAAUUCAUCUCAAGCUUAUUUUCUUCUAUGCUGUUUCCCUUUCCCACUUUUUAAUUUCACCCUUAUUUUAAUCUCUCAUUUUCCUGUUGUUUCAUAGUGAAACCACUUUGCAAAAUUAUAACUGAGGAAACUAUGACAGUGAAAGACAUCAGACCUAACUGAUUCCAUCUUGCUUCUAACGUUUAAGCUGUCCUUGUUCUUUCCUGGGCAUAGGCCAAACUAACUUUGGGAAGGAAUUCAGUUCAUGGUUUGACUCUGAAACAAAUUGGAACCAGCCCUUUCCUGAAAAACCCCGUUUCUUCCUUGGAGACCAGUCUGCCUUUGCAGGACUAACAACUUAGCUACAACAUUAGAAAUCACAGUUUAGGGGUCAUGCAGUCUCUGGUUCCAAGAGUUUGAACCUCCCGAAAUUGCUCCUGGGGAUAAUAUCGGUAUUGUGAAACCUAAGAUCAGUGCUUAAGACCCUGCACUGGAUGGAUCAGCUGACACCACCCAGAGUGGUAAUCUGGCUCAACCAGUUCUGCCAUCCCUCCCAAGAACAGAAAACAGCAAAAAACAAACAAACAAACAAACAAACAAAAAAAACUCACUUCGACUCCCACUGCCCCCCAUGAUUCCAUCUCCAACCUGACCAAUCAGCACUCCCCACUUCCCAAGCCCCUACCUGCCAAAUUAUCUUUAAAAACACUUAUCAUCAAAUGGCUCAGGGAGAAUGAUUUGAGUAAUAAUAAAACUCUGGUCUCCCGCACAGCUGGCUCUUCCUGAUUUACUCUUUCUCCAUUGCAAUUCCCCUGUCUUGAUAAAUCGGCUCUGUCUAGGCUGCGGGCAAGGUGAACCCAUUGG
rnacentral:lncRNA from 10 species